rnacentral:rRNA from 1 species
AGUGGCGUACGGGUGAGUAACACGUGGAUAAUCUACCUUCUGGUGAGGAAUAACCCUGGGAAACCGGGGCUAAUACCGCAUAAGCGAGAGGAAAGUCGCGCCGGAAGAGGAGUCCGCGGCCGAUUAGCUAGUUGGCAGGGUAAGAGCCUACCAAGGCAAAGGUCGGUAGCCGGCCUGAGAGGGCACACGGCCACACUGGCACUGAAACACGGGCCAGACUCCUACGGGAGGCAGCAGUGGGGAAUCUUGCACAAUGGGGGAAACCCUGAUGCAGCGACGCCGCGUGAGCGAUGAAGCCCUUCGGGGUGUAAAGCUCUUUCGGCAGGGACGAUUGACGGUACCUGCAGAAGCAGCUGCGGCUAACUACGUGCCAGCAGCCGCGGUAAUACGUAGGCAGCAAGCGUUGUACGGAGUUACUGGGCGUAAAGGGUGUGUAGGCGGUUGCUUAAGUAUGGUGUGAAAUCUCCCGGCUCAACCGGGAGGGUGCGCCGAAUAC